AGCUCUCUAUUUUGCGCCGCAUCAAGAAAACGAAAGCCCCCCUCCCAUCCAUUCAACUCCGGUCCGAACGGAGGAGGGACUCGGCGGCGCUCCAACUCCAGGUGUACGGGCGUACGAGGACGUGGCGCGGUGCAACGCGUGAAGGCGUGGUCCCUGGUGGUGGCGUGGCUCGGCUCGGAGGCGUGGCUUUGGCGUGGAGGCGCCACACGCGCGCGGGGGAAACCUGGCUCAGUUGCGACGCUGGAGGCUUACCUUAGCUGCUAGGGUUUUCUGAUUUUGGUUUCUGCUAGGCUAGGUGUUGGGCCAUCGGGCCAUUAGGUUAGUUUGGGUUUAGUGUUUGGGCUAAGGUAGAGAUUUGGGCCAGGGUUAGGUGUUUUUGGACUGACGUUUAGUGGGCUUGUAAUACUGGACUUUUGGACAUUUAAUUAUCUUUUUGGUUUUGUUUUAUUA